CAACAAGCCCUUGCCACGCUCCCAGACUACUGCCUCACCAGGAUGGAGCUCUUAUGCAUUAUACAUGUUAAACAUCUCCUAUUCAGUGCUAACUUUGACUUUGUGCCCUGGGCCAGUCGACUUUUUGGCAAAAUACUGCAUCUUCAGCCAGGAGAAGUUGGCGAAGUACAAAAGGGCUUUUGAAGCGCCAUCACCAGAAGGUUCAUCUCAUCAACUCUUGUUACUGAAACAGCAUCUUCCAUGGCCAAGAAUUGAACACUGCAACUUAGUGAACUUCCUCUAUCGUGUCCAGACAAUAUGAAGUGCUUUUCCUGAAUUACAUGUUCAUCAAGAAUCACAACUGCAUUCACCUGACAGUUAGGAUUACAGUAUCAUAUCGGCCAGGCCAUCACUUCUGCAAUCUUCACCAGCAAAGGAGGCAGAUAUUCUGUGGCUUCGUACUGGGGCACCUUGGAACACACUUUCUGUGGUUUGUUUGGCCCUGCUGAACAUGACAAACUGGACAUAAGAAGGCAUUAUAAGUACUGGGUGAAUGCUCAUGUCUUUGCUGCCCAUUGGAACAGUGUUAAAAUAAAGCUCCUUUUGACACGCUUAGGUGUAAACAUCGUUUCCAGGUAGGAAAGUGUUCUGAAGAUUUUUAAGCCAGGUGAUUUUAAAAAUGCUCCCUUUGAAACAAAAGGACCUCAGCAGGGAUUUUGGCUGAUGCAUUUGUGAGGCAAAGGGGAAUAUAUCAGCAUGACUUAGCCUCUGGCUCCCGAGGAUGGUUUCACGCGUGGGAAAUGCGGCUGCGAGAGCACCGGCCAAGGCGCGCUGAUGCGGGCGCUGUCCGUG
ensembl:lncRNA